rnacentral:hammerhead_ribozyme from 1 species
GUACUACUGAAGAGUCCCAGAGUGGGACGAAACAGUCGUCCCGUAC